GACGACCGCUGGCGGCGUGCCUAAUACAUGCAAGUAGAACGCUCAAGAGAGGAGCUUGCUCUUCUUGGAUGAGUUGCGAACGGGUGAGUAACGCGUAGGUAACCUGCCUUUUAGCGGGGGAUAACUAUGGGAAACGAUAGCUAAUACCGCAUAACAAUGGAUGACACAUGUCUUUUAUUUGAAAGACGCAAUUGCUCUACUUCAAGAUGGACCUGCGGUGGAUUAGCUAUUAGGUUAGGUAAUCGCCUACCUAAGGGACGAUACAUAACCGACCUGAAAGGGUGAUCCGGCACACUGGGAAUGGGACAACGCCCAGACUACUAAGGGAGGCAGCAGUAAGGAAUCUUAGGGAAUGGGGGCAACGCUGACCGGACAAAGCCGCGUGGGUGAAGAAGGGUUUCGGAACGUAAAGAUCUUUUGUAAGUGAAAAAAGAAUGUGAGAGUGGAAAAUGCACACUGUGACGGUAGCUAAGCAGAAAGGGGCGGCUAACUACGUG
rnacentral:rRNA from 1 species